rnacentral:rRNA from 1 species
UACGAAGGAUUCGAGCGUUAUCUGGAUUUAUUGGGUUUAAAGGGUGCGUAGGCGGACUGAUAAGUCAGUGGUGAAAGCCUGUUGCUUAACAACAGAACUGCCAUUGAUACUGCCAGUCUUGAGUACAGUUGAGGUAGGCGGAAUGUGUCAUGUAGUGGUGAAAUACUUAGAUAAUGACACAGAACACCGAUUGCGAAGGCAGCUUGCUAAACUGUAACUGACGCUGAGGCACGAAAGCAUGGGGAGCAAACAGG